CUCCACCACUUCCACCUCGGCUAAAGGAGACCGCUUCCUCCCCGCUCCCGCCCUCCCUCUCUCUCACACACACACAUCCGCCGUGCUACAGGCCAGGCGCUCCCUCCCCUACCUCGUCUCGCCCUCUCAGUGUCGGGUUACAGCGACACAAGGGCCCUGCCUGUCUGAACCACGACUUUGACAAAGAUAAUAUUACAGGUCUGGUGUAUUGCAUGGAGAUGGUUAACACUUGCAGUCACACCUCUACAGACCCCCCCCCACCCUCUUUCUUCUCCUGAGAAUGUGCUGUUUAUGGUCACUCUGCUCCCAGCCAAGGUCAACACGGAAUCCCAGCUAUUUCACUUGCUGGUCUGUGCAUGUCUCGUGUUCUCCCUUUGUAUCUUCCAGUCACACACUUACUUUGGUCAAUUCGCCGAUAAGGCGCGCGAGCAACAGCCUUUGCACAACAACAGCCUUUGCACAACAGCAUUUGCACAACAGCCACAAAAUCGACACUUGUGAAAGUGUGCUACUGGUACCAACAAUUAGGAUGAAAGUGAGAUCUUGUGCCAGGAGCCCGAACACAAUUCCCACUUGUACCAUCUCCUGCAGGACCAGAAGCCCACGCGCCUCGAGGUCGGCAGCAAAUAACAUUAGCUCACUGUUCGCUCAAGCCGCUACAAAGCCAGGAGAGAGAGAGAGGAAGAGAGAGCGAGACAGAUAG
rnacentral:lncRNA from 1 species